rnacentral:lncRNA from 1 species
UUGUAGCUGAUUUGUAGUUAACUGAUUAUUGCUAACAUAGUUAACUUAUUGACACCUUAUUAUUUUCUUUUUGAUCUUGAAUUGUAGGUGAGAGCUUCAACAAAUUAUAUACACACUGUGUGACAAUUAAUUUCAUUGAAAUUAACUACAAUAUUUUUUCUUUAUCUACAACAUUCUCGUUUCUCAUCGACGUUCAUGGCAUUCAUGAACUUGCAUUUGAUCCAGUCUCAAACUUCUUGAUGCUUGGUANNN